rnacentral:rRNA from 1 species
UGGGGGAUAUUGCACAAUGGGGGAAACCCGUGAUGCAGCGACGCCGCGUGGGUGAAGAAGCGCCUCGGCGCGUAAAGCCCUGUCAGCAGGGAAGAAAAUGACGGUACCUGACUAAGAAGCCCCGGCUAACUACGUGCC